rnacentral:rRNA from 1 species
GACGAACGCUGGCGGCGUGCCUAAUACAUGCAAGUUGAGCGCUGAAGGUUGGUACUUGUACCGACUGGAUGAGCAGCGAACGGGUGAGUAACGCGUGGGGAAUCUGCCUUUGAGCGGGGGACAACAUUUGGAAACGAAUGCUAAUACCGCAUAAAAACUUUAAACACAAGUUUUAAGUUUGAAAGAUGCAAUUGCAUCACUCAAAGAUGAUCCCGCGUUGUAUUAGCUAGUUGGUGAGGUAAAGGCUCACCAAGGCGAUGAUACAUAGCCGACCUGAGAGGGUGAUCGGCCACAUUGGGACUGAGACACGGCCCAAACUCCUACGGGAGGCAGCAGUAGGGAAUCUUCGGCAAUGGACGAAAGUCUGACCGAGCAACGCCGCGUGAGUGAAGAAGGUUUUCGGAUCGUAAAACUCUGUUGGUAGAGAAGAACGUUGGUGAGAGUGGAAAACUCAUCAAGUGACGGUAACUACCCAGAAAGGGACGGCUAACUACGUG